ensembl:lncRNA
UUUUUUUUUUUUUUUGUCUUACUGUAUGUUUAAGCCGUGAUUCCCAUCCACUUACAUUAUAUGAGUGAUAGACUGCAACGGUUUGAGUUAAAAAUCUUGGUUUGUGUUCUACUGAACAAAAAACAAAGUCACCUACAUCUUGGAUGCUCUGUGGGUCUUGUUGGAGCUCCCCGUGGGCUGAUGGGAUUGUUGCCGAACAGAUUGUGCAGGUGUAAGAGGAGCGCUCCUCAACGACGUGGCACCUGUCCAAAGCACUCAACAGCGACACACGGGCCUCCGAGACAUGACUGAACGCAAAGAGAACUGCUGCUGCUAUAAAACACCAUCACAUCUCAACACUUUGAAUUACCGUAAAAUGUGCUCUAUCAGUAAACUGGCCUCGCCGUGCUACCUGGAAAUGAAAGUCUGAUAGGGACCCACCCGAAGGACGCUCUAUGAUCACAGCUCUGUGUUUUCCUCAGUAGUUCCUUCUGCUAUGAGUAGCAUUUACACAGAGACAUUCGCUAAUCGCUACAAUAAGAGACAUCUGCUUAUUACCUGAUAAUAAUGAUUAUUGCUCUUUUGUGGUUAUGUGCAGCCAGCGGAGCAUCCAUUUCUACAGGGCCUCGUGGUUUAUGGCUGAUACAAGCAAACUUAUGGCAAUUUUUCCUUGUGGUACAAAAGAACACUUCAAGUAAUCACUGCUAUAAAGACCAAAGGACCAUAGUGCAUUGAUGCAAGGUCACAUGGUUUAUUUGACCUUUUUACAUGGUUUAUUUUAUUGCUUUGAUGAAGCUUAAAUCAGUUUUAUAUGGUGGUAAUGCCAUGUAUUACACUGUCAAUGGCCUUGAUUUUAUAUCCAUAUCAUUUUAAUUCAUAAGCAAUAAGCAAAACCUAAUUUUUGAGCCUUACACCAGAUCUGAUGGGACUCUUUUCCUCGAAUGAAGCUUAGGGCACUUAACAUGUCUCAUAAGUUUCAUAUCUGGUUGAAUUGCGUUUCUCAUUUGGAGGAGGGUCGUUCCUGAUCCUGCUUUACAGUAUUGCAUAAGAGUUUAAUGUUGCUAAGAUGUUUUUAAAAGAAGUCUCUUCAGCUCACCAGGGCUGCAUUUGUUUGAUUAAAAAUACAGUAAAAUUGUGAAAUAUUAUUACAGUUUAAAAUAAGUGUUUUCUUUGUGAAUAUAUUUUAAAAUGUAAUUUAUUCCUGUGAAUUUUCAGCAUCAUUACUCCAGUCUUCAGUCUCACACGAUCCUUCAGAAAUCUUUCUAAUCUGCUGAUUUCCUGCUCAAGAAACAUUUCUCAUUAUUAUCAAUGUUGAAAACUGCUUAAUAUUUUUUGUGCAUUUUUUCAGGAUUCUUUGAUGAAUAGAAAUGUCAAAAGAACAGCAUUUAUUUAAUAUAUAUAUGUUUUUUGUAACAAAGUAAAGGUCUUUACUCUCACUUUUGAUGAGUUUAAUGCAUCCUAGCUGAAUAAAAUAAAAUAAA